AUUGAACGCUGGCGGCAUGCCUAACACAUGCAAGUCGAACGGCAGCACAGUAAAGAUUUCGGUCUUUAUGGGUGGCGAGUGGCGGACGGGUGAGUAAUGCGUAGGAAUCUGUCCUGGAGAGUAGGAUAACCCGAGGAAACUCGGGCUAAUACUGCAUGAUAUCGAGAGAUCAACGGCAGGGGAACCUUCGGGGCCUUGCGCUCUAGGAUGAGCAUACGUCGGAGUAGCUAGUUGGUGGGGUAAAGGCCUACCAAGGCGACGAUCCGUAGCUGGUCUGAGAGGAUGACCAGCCACACUGGGACUGAGACACGGCCCAGACUCCUACGGGAGGCAGCAGUGGGGAAUCUUGGACAAUGGGGGAAACCCUGAUCCAGCGAUGCCGCGUGUGUGAAGAAGGCCUUCGGGUUGUAAAGCACUUUAGUUGGGGAAGAAAAGUAAUGAGUGAAUAACUGAUUGCUCCGACGGUACCCAAAGAAUAAGCACCGGCUAACUCUGUGCCAGCCGCCGCGGUAA
rnacentral:rRNA from 1 species